rnacentral:rRNA from 1 species
UAUGGUGGCUAUAGCGAAGGGGUUCCACCUCUUACCAUUCCGAACAGAGUAGUUAAGCCCUUCAGCGCUGAUGGUACUGGGCCUCGAGCUCGGGAGAGUAGGUCGCUGCCAUUU